GGGCUGACCUUCCUCCAUAUUUGCCCCAGGCCCCAGCUGGCCAUUGUUCUCAUCAAAGGGGUGGUGAGGGGCAUGCCCUCUUCUGGUUUCCCUGGUAACUGAUGAGCCCACCUGAGGUCAAUUGCCCUCUAACUGGCUCUAUCCCCUUCCCUUGGGGAAUGAAGACUGCCACGAUGCUGUCUGCUGCACACUCUGGGGUGUCCUCCAGGACCUUGCUUCAGCCAUGAACUUGGGAGUCAGUUGUGUCUCACUUGAGGAAAUUCCAUGGGUAGAGGAGCCUGGUGGGCUACAGUCCAUGAGGUCUCAAAAGAGUUGGACAUGACUUAGCAACUAAACAACAACAUCAUGGCACCCCUAAAUCAUAAGGCAAGUUGUUGAUGAAGAAGACGAGAAGAGUGCAUAGGACCAAGAAUUCUCAAGAGCCAGAAGGGGAUAAGUCUUCUUCUGAAACUAAAAGGAGACAUGAAUCAUGGAUACAAAUAGAAGAUGUCUUUGGAAAGAGAAAGAAGGCAGUUCACAGCAGACUUCUCUUAUUCAGUCUUGGUCAGAUGUCUCAGUCAUCUUGCUCCUCCCCUUUCAGCUUCUCUCUGUUGUUGCUGGUGCUCUCUAAAGCUUCUGUCUUAGGCCCUAUUCCUUCUGAGCUGCCAACUUCUCCUUCAUGUUUGUACCAUAUGAGAAGACUCAAAACCCGGAAAAUAUUCUAAAAUUAGUUAUGCAGGCACUCAAAAACAUAUUGAGAACACUUUCUUGCUAGUUGUUCACGGAUUCCAGAUCAUCUCAGUUUGAUUCCAUGAGCUAUGGAAAACCCCCCAAACUGAAGUUUGUAUGUACAUAAUUUCCUCUCCGUGAAUAAACUGAUCCUUGAGCCAAAGCAUCCUGGCAGACCCAUAUCAAUUUGACAUCCUGUAGACGGAUUUAGAU
ensembl:lncRNA